CUUUUUGUAUAAGUAUGUCCCAUGUAAUAUUUGGGACAUACUUAUACUAAAA
rnacentral:pre_miRNA from 1 species